CCAGACUCAAAAGGGAACUCAUCCUCAUUUGGGUGACAAUUGUGUGAUGCCAAUACAGCAUGUGUAGAAUAUUAUGUAAAUCAAUGAGGAGGUUGUUGUCUUCCACAGAGCUGCUUUGAAUACCCCAAUCCUCACAAAGCAGAACCCAGCUGGAGCUGGUCCAUCUCCAGAUGCCACUGGAGCCAGCACAGUCUCUGUAUGCCUUGGGAUGGGUAGAAGAAGGGAAACAAUGGAACAGAAUUAGCAUAGCUGCUGUUCAUAAUAUUAGCAGCACUAGAUGAUGAUGUGCAUUUAAUCAGAUGUACUGGAGCACAAGGUUAUUGUCACACUGGACCCAGGAACAGAGACUGGAGAGCAGAUGGUGAGUAAUGUGAUUGUGCUUUAUUUUACAACAAAACUGUGCAAACAAAAGGCGAACCGAAACGUAACAUAAAUAGGCUUAUCUGAACAACUUGACGAAAGCACAAAGAGUUAUCCACACGAGGUGAGUUGGUGCGGGCGCAGCAGCUAGUAGUCCGUGGCACUUGGGUGUAAGGCAUGAACGUAGCAGAAGUAACGUUAAUACUAGCCACUGCUCUUGUGGUGAGAGGGUGAUAAAUAGAGUGAGCAAUAAUGAGUGUCUGGUGAAGGAGUCAGAACUCCGGUGAUGGAGGGCGUGGUCGCGAGGUAGAGGUGGAAGCCCCCGUGACAGUUAUGGGAUGUGUUAUGGGCUAAAGAGAUAGGUCUUUAGUCUACGUUUAAACUGGGAGACUGUGUCUGAGCCCUGAACACUGUCAGGAAGAUUAUUCCAAAGUUUAGGAGCUAAACGCUCUUCCCCCUUUUGUGGACUUUUUUGUGAUCUUAAAGAGCGUGGUGGAUUGUAACGUGUUAGAUGACUGGCUAGAUACGUGGGAGCUGAACCAUUUAGAGCCUUGAACAGGCAUACAGAGAUUGUGGCAGAUCCAGUGGCAUCCAGAGAUGGACCAGCUCCAGCCGGGUUUGGCUUUGUGAGGACUGGGGUAUUCAAAGCAACGCUGCCAACCCGAUGUGGAUGACAACAAUCUCUUUAUUCAUUUACACAACACUGUACACAUGCUGUAUCUGCAUCACACAAUUGACUAUACAUGAAUGCAGGAAGGACAUUGUUCAUAUCACACUCUCCUGUGUCACCCAAAUGAGGAUGGGUUCCCUUUUGAGUCUGGUUCCUCUCAAGGUUUCUUCCUCAUACCAUCUAAGGGAGUUUUUCCUUGCCUCAGGCUUGCUAUCUAUAACUAACUAUCCAUAACAAUUCUCUUACUGUUACUCAGAAAACAGGACCCAGGUUUAACUCAUUCGAAGUGCUUGUCCUUAAUAUAGCACUCACAGACAUGCAUAAUAAAUCCCUGCUAUCUCUUGCUCUGGCCACCGUGUAUAGACCCCCGGGGCCCUAAGUUCUCCUAGCAGCUAUAACAGCUUCAACUCUUCUAGCAAGGCUUUCCACAAGUUUUAGGAGUGUAUUUAUGGAAUCUUUCAACAUUGCUCUAGAAGCACAUUUGUGAGGUCAGGCACUGAUGUUAGAUGAGAAGGCCUGGCUUGCAGUCUCUGCUCUAAUUCAUCACUCCAGAGAAUACGUCUCCACUGAGAAAUGUACCGAGACAUUCUUUAUAAAAAAAUCUGCUGCCAUCUACCAGGACCAUCAACAUGAAACCAGGGUGGACAUUUCAGCAAGAUGGUGAUCCCAAACACAAAGCCAAGGAGAUAGAAAUUAAAAUUUUUUCUUCAGAGAAAGAAAUUAAAGCUGCUAGAAUGGCUCAGCCAAUCACCUGACUUGAAUCCAAUUGAAAAUCUAUGGUCAGAGUUCAUAGAAGAUGCCCACUGACCCUUCAAGCUUUCAAGACUGUUUGUGUGAAACAAUGGGCCAAAAUCACACCUGAGCAAUACAUGCAACUACUUUCUCCAUACAAGAGGCAUCUUGAAGCUGUCUUCAGUUCACACAGGUGUGUGUGUGUGUGUGUGAAUAAUAAAACCUUGCAUAAAUGAUAUGGAGAAAGAGAUUAAGAUAAAGUGUGCACUACCUUAUCCAAACACAAUAAUACAGUAGAAUAUGAACAUCAUUUAUGGUACGAAGAAGAGAUCGACAAUACGAUAAUACAGUGUGUUUCACCAUACAAUGAAGUUCUUACUCUGAAUCAUCAAGCAGCCUAACACGUAAGUUAAGGACAUUAAAAAAAAUAUUGAUAUUUUAUCGAUAUGAAUAAUUUCUGCUUAACUAAAUGAUGUUAACGCUGUGUACAGGAUGGUCAGUGACAGUUUGUAUAUAUGACGUUACACACCGUUCGGUCUGCGGCGAAAUGCGAGUGAUCAUGUGCCAAUCAGCUACGUACGCAACACACAUACACACACACACGUUACAGAAUGGCACGAAGGCAGAAAGGAAAUGUAACGUGGUGCGGUGCUACUUCUCAACAGCGGGAAAAAAUGCACAAUGCAAUCAAUAUUUGUGAUGAUAAAAAAGUCACACACAGCAACAAUACAAGCAACCUUUUUCAACACUUACAGACAACACACACACACUGAAACUUGCUGCCCAGUCUCCCUUUGCCCCGUCUCCCUCUGCCCGACAAAAGACGUUACAGGAGAGUUUUAAGGGAGGUACAAAGAACACAGUAAUUAAUUGACUUAUUAACUGUUCUCUCUCUCUCUCUCUCGUUACCAUUAGGUAAAUAAGAAUAAAUAUGAAAGUGUGUGUGUGUUUGCUCAUGCGUGCACUUCUGCAUGUAUAGGGGAUGUACUAGUAUUCCUUACGUUACAGAGACCAAAAACGUCCCCACAAAUUCUGGCCUUCUGGAGAUAGAAUAUACAGUUUGCACAGUAUAAUAAUAAUUGUGUUUGGAAUGUCCCCUUAAUGUUAGGCAUACCAGUAUGCGUGUAUAUGAAUAUUUAUACUAUGUGUGUGUGUAUAUUUUGUGUAAGUUGUUAUUAAUGGCCAGUAUGCCUUUGUAAUUUGCAUUUACAUGUAAUGAUCUCUUUUGUAAAAAUGAACAUUAUUUUGAAAAAUCACAUUCACAUUUCAAAUAAUCAGUGGUAUCGGUGGCGUUAAAAUUGUAAGAAAAACAAGAUAAAAAAUCUGUAUCGUAUCACGUUAAAAAAUGGUGGUAUCACUCAUCCCUAGUGACGAUUGUCUUUGCUGAUUAAUUGUUCUUAUUGUUGAUUAUUAAAUUGGAAAAUAAUAAAACCUUGCUUAAAUGAUGUAUAGAAGGAGAUUAAGAUAAAGUGUACAAAAAUAAAAGGGGGUCUCGUUCAUUAAAUCCCCCCCAUGCCAAGCUAUAGCCAAGCUAUUUGGUUGCUAAUAGUCUAUAGGUAGUAGCUUAUAGCCAAGCUAUUUGGUUGCUCAUAGCCUAUAGCUAAUAGGUUGGCAUGGGUGCUUGUGUGGCGUGGUCACUUGCCCAUUACAGGAGAGGCCACUUUGCGCUACCAGACACGAGCACAAUAAUACAGAAGAACAUCAACUGUAUUUAUGGUACGAAGAAGAGAUCGACAAUACGAUCACGGUAGGUUUAAAAAAAUACACACUAUUUUUAAAAUACACUUUUUCCCCAUCCUUUAAACAUUUAUACACAGACUACUAGACAUGGCGAGGACUAGUAUUUCAUUAUUUUCUAAAUGAACGAAUUUGAAAUGGCAUUUUUGAACGUAUUUGUAUCUUCCCUUGUGGGCGUGUCCCACUGCACCUACGGCUCUUCUACAAGGCUUGUUGACUGCGCGCUCUUCUCAGCUUUCUGUGUUCAGCAAUGCGCUUUGUACAUUUUAGCAGUCACUGACAGUGUGAGCUUGCAUGCAUGGCAAUUCCCAUUGUCCAAGCAAACGGUUUCUUAUCGUCUCCUGUGUAAUGAGUGGGAGUAUCCAUCGACUUCUGAGGCUUUUGCUUUGAAAGGAGCCGUGUGUGCCUUUCUUUAGCUAGUGUAGAGAAUUGUUAUGUGCACCUACUGAUUUUUCUUCUUGUCGGCGAGUUUAAAGCAAUUUUACUCGCACCCACAGGAUAGGGGUAAGUUUCUCACGUUACGCUGCUCCAAGUGUUAUGACUGCUCAGAGGCCAGCUUUGACCUAGGGCCUGUGGCUCGGCAGUAAAGAUAAGAUUUUUUUCUGGAUUUAUUGACUUAUUUCCACGGAACUAUUGUAAUCCGGUCCUUAAUGCUGGCGCCAAGCGCAUAUUUAGUGUUUCCAACUUGUCAGGACUUGGACACGAUCCGUUCUACUUUCCGGGUUGUUUCAGUCGAGUUGAGUGACGGUUGAAUUGUCCAAUCCGCAGAGGGAUUGCGUACGGCACCCCAGCCUAUCAGCUGUAAGUAGGGGUGGAACCUGUCGUAGCUUAGUAGGUAGCGUGUUGGUUUUUGGAGCUCAGGCCCUUAGAGACUGCGGUUCGAAGCCCGUGCGGACCUCAGGCAGAGUGAACACUACGUGCUUGUUCAAAGUAGAGUAAAAGCGGGUGAUGGAUGUGCUAAUAGCUAAAAUCUCCAUGAGCUGUUUCUUUUCUGUUAAUAUUUCCAUUAAAUUGUGGCCGCCCCCUCACCUGCUUAUUUAAGGCUUCGGUGCCUUUUUGUACCAUUGCAAAUGAAUAAACGGCAUAUUUUAUGCGCUAAUCACGUUAGCAUUAGCAGCUAAUGCUAAUCGCUAGCUUGGUCUGUGCCAUUACUAAGCCUUGGAUUGGCACAAGUAAGUGAUGUUGAGAUUGAAAAAGAAUGGUUUUUGAAUUAAAGUGAAUUAACUACAACUUGUUGUAAGCCGUCUGAAAUAUUGGGCUACUUUUCCUGCCGAAAGCCUGAAGACGACGAAGAUCUUUUCUGUUCAUCGAAUUGACGUAAUCCUCAAUGAACCACCUGUGAUGGACUUCAUUUGAGUUUUCCCAGAUGGAGGAGGAAUGUCCUCCUCCUCAUCCUGCAUUUUGCCUGAAGAGAAGCUGUGAUCAGAGGCCUCAUUUUCUACCUUGGUGAGGAGACAGAGGAGUUCAUCAAGGACUACCGAGUACAGAAUACACCUCUGACAUUGCUCUAAGUCAGUGCCCUGCCUGUACAAGACAAGAACACCCGCUUCUAGCCGGUUAGCCCAUUAGCAUCGCUAACCCGAUAGCCCGGCUACCACAGGUGAGGCUAAAGGUAAGGUGAGGUGCGCACUCGCUGUCUUCCUGGUGCUCGUGUUCUUGAUGUCGCUGCACGGGUACCCGCCAUCCUGAAUAAGCACAUCGGAGCUGUGGUCCUCCAUGCUGGCACGAACGACAUCAGGCUGAGGCAGAUGGAGAUCCUGAAGAAGGACUUCAGGAGCCUGGUGGAGAAGGUUCACACCACAUCGCCCAUCGACGAGGAUCAUCGUGUCAUGACCACUUCCCGCGUUCCAGCAAGGAAUCGAGAGGUUCACUAGACUAUUUGCUUUUAACGAACGGUUACACUCAUGGUGUCAAGACCAGAAAUUAAGCUUUGUUGAUAAUUGGAAUAUUUUCUGGGAGCGUCUUAGGCUCUACCGUUCUGAUGGGCAUAGUUGGAGCAGCAGUCCUCUCGGACAACAUCUCCAGGACACUACGCACCAUCUGACUGAGGUAUACAGAGAUUGUGGCAGAUCCAGUGGCAUCCAGAGAUGGACCAGCUCCAGCCGGGUUUGGCUUUGUGAGGACUGGGGUAUUCAAAGCAACGCUGCCAACCAUAUGUGGACGACAACAAUCUCUUUAUUCAUUUACACAACACUGUACACAUGCUGUAUCUGCAUCACACAAUUGACUAUACAUGAAUGCAGGAAGGACAUUGUUCAUAUCACACUCUCCUGUGUCACCCAAAUGAGGAUGGGUUCCCUUUUGAGUCUGGUUCCUCUCAAGGUUUCUUCCUCAUACCAUCUAAGGGAGUUUUUCCUUCCCUCAGGCUUGCUCACUUGGGAUAACAUCUAGGACUGUUUGUCUGUUUCUUUUUUCUUAUGUAAGGCUGCUUUGAGGCAAUGCUCUUUGUUAAAAGCACUAUACAAAUAAAAUUGAAUUGAAUAAGAGUCUUGAUGCACUCUGCCUUACUGAAACCUGGCUUAGACCAAAUGACCACAUUGGUCUGAAUGAGUCUACUCCGUCAGGAUAUUCCGAUAAGCAUGAGCCCCGUCAGACUGGUGGUGAAGGUGGUGUUGCAACUAUCUAUAACAAUUCUCUUACUGUUACUCAGAAAACAGGACCCAGGUUUAACUCAUUCGAAGUGCUUGUCCUUAAUAUAGUACUCACAGACAUGCAUAAUAAAUCCCUGCUAUCUUUUGCUCUGGCCACCGUGUAUAGACCCCGGGGCCCUACGCUGAUUUUCUUCAAGAGUUUGCACACUUACUCUCAGACCUAUUGAUUCAUUUUGACAAAGUGUUGAUUGUAGGUGACUUGAACAUUCAUGUAGACGAUGCCAAUGAUGCUUUAGGACUCUGGUUUCUGGAUUUACCAAAUUCCUUUGGGGUUAAACAAAACAUCACUAGACCAACUCAUCGUUUUAAUCAUAUGCUAGAUUUAAUUAUAUGACAUGGAACAUGUGAGGACAUAAAAAGUACAUAAAAAAAGAAACAUACAAGGUGUGAAUUAAAAUUACACAAUCUGAAACACACUAAUAACUGCUUUAUUGUGGAUUUAUUCUGUGCUGAACUUGUUGGGGAACAGUUAAUGAUGUGUGUUGGGCGCUGAAUGUGUGCUUUUAUCUUGAGUUAUUAUGACUUGGUCACAAUCCUAAUUAAUUGGUGUUAUCUUGAGUUUUAUGUAGAACUGCUUUAUCCUCCAUGCAACGAAAUCCAUAUUUCCACGUGUUCUAUCUACACUGGGCAGGUAUGUUAUAGAAAAUCUUGUAGUGUGUGUAAUGGAUUUGUCGUUUUAUUACUGUGGACUUGCAUGUGUUCCCCACUAGGUGGGGAUGUUUUCCCUUAACGUGCCUAACCCUAGACACGCUUCAAAACUUUUGUGUUUGGAAAAUUAAUAGAGUACAGUAAAACGAAUAACAAGUGGAGAUUCAACAAGUGCAACACGUGGACAUGAGCAAGGUAAGCACUAUUUGUAUAUACACUUUAUGGCCAAAAGUUUUGGGACGCCUGCCUUUACGUGCACAUCAACUUGAAUGACAUCCCAUUCUUAAGCCGUACGGUCUAAUGUGGAGUUCUCCUUGCAGCUAUAACAGCUUCAACUCUUCUAGCAAGGCUUUCCACAAGUUUUAGGAGUGUAUUUAUGGAAUCUUUCAACAUUGCUCUAGAAGCACAUUUGUGAGGUCAGGCACUGAUGUUAGAUAAGUAGGCCUGGCUCGCAGUCUCUGCUCUAAUUCAUCACUGCAGAGAAUACGUCUCCACUGAGAAAUGUACCGAGACAUUCUUUAUGAAAAAAAAAAAUCUGCUGCCAUCUACCAGGACCAUGAACAUGAAACCAGGGUGGACAUUUCAGUAAGACGGUGAUCCCAAACACAAAGCCAAGGAGAUAGAAAUUACAUUUCUUUCUUCAGAGAAAGAAAUUAAAGCUGCUCGAAUGGCCCAGCCAAUCACCUGACUUGAAUCCAACUGAAAAUCUAUGGUCAGAGUUCAUUGAAAACGCCCACUGACCCUUCAAGCUUUCAAGACUGUGUGAAACAA